GAGGAGGAGCUUGCUCUUCAAAUCGAGUGGCGAACGGGUGAGUAACGCGUGAGGAACCUGCCUCAAAGAGGGGGACAACAGUUGGAAACGACUGCUAAUACCGCAUAAGCCCACGGCUCGGCAUCGAGCAGGGGGGGAAAGGAGCAAUCCGCUUUGAGAUGGCCUCGCGUCCGAUUAGCUAGUUGGUGAGGUAACGGCCCACCAAGGCGACGAUCGGUAGCCGGACUGAGAGGUUGAACGGCCACAUUGGGACUGAGACACGGCCCAGACUCCUACGGGAGGCAGCAGUGGGGAAUAUUGCACAAUGGGGGAAACCCUGAUGCAGCGACGCCGCGUGGAGGAAGAAGGUCUUCGGAUUGUAAACUCCUGUUGUUGAGGAAGAUAAUGACGGUACUCAACAAGGAAGUGACGGCUAACUACGUGCCAGCAGCCGCGGUAAAACGUAGGUCACAAGCGUUGUCCGGAAUUACUGGGUGUAAAGGGAGCGCAGGCGGGAGAACAAGUUGGAAGUGAAAUCCAUGGGCUCAACCCAUGAACUGCUUUCAAAACUGUUUUUCUUGAGUAGUGCAGAGGUAGGCGGAAUUCCCGGUGUAGCGGUGGAAUGCGUAGAUAUCGGGAGGAACACCAGUGGCGAAGGCGGCCUACUGGGCACCAACUGACGCUGAGGCUCGAAAGUGUGGGUAGCAAACAGGAUUAGAUACCCUGGUAGUCCACACCGUAAACGA
rnacentral:rRNA from 1 species